UGCCUUACACAUGCAAGUCGAACGGUAACAGGGAGCUUGCUCCGCUGACGAGUGGCGAACGGGUGAGUAAUAUAUCGGAACGUGCCCUAGAGUGGGGGAUAACGUAGCGAAAGUUACGCUAAUACCGCAUACGAUCUACGGAUGAAAGUGGGGGAUCGCAAGACCUCAUGCUCAUGGAGCGGCCGAUAUCUGAUUAGCUAGUUGGUAGGGUAAAAGCCUACCAAGGCUUCGAUCAGUAGCUGGUCUGAGAGGACGACCAGCCACACUGGGACUGAGACACGGCCCAGACUCCUACGGGAGGCAGCAGUGGGGAAUUUUGGACAAUGGGGGCAACCCUGAUCCGACAAUGCCGCGUGAGUGAAGAAGGCCUUCGGGUUGUAAAGCUC
rnacentral:rRNA from 1 species